rnacentral:rRNA from 1 species
GAUGAACGCUGGCGGCGUGCCUAAUACAUGCAAGUCGAGCGAACAGACGAGGAGCUUGCUCCUUUGACGUUAGCGGCGGACGGGUGAGUAACACGUGGGUAACCUACCUAUAAGACUGGGAUAACUUCGGGAAACCGGAGCUAAUACCGGAUAAUAUUUCGAACCGCAUGGUUCGAUAGUGAAAGAUGGUUUUGCUAUCACUUAUAGAUGGACCCGCGCCGUAUUAGCUAGUUGGUAAGGUAACGGCUUACCAAGGCGACGAUACGUAGCCGACCUGAGAGGGUGAUCGGCCACACUGGAACUGAGACACGGUCCAGACUCCUACGGGAGGCAGCAGUAGGGAAUCUUCCGCAAUGGGCGAAAGCCUGACGGAGCAACGCCGCGUGAGUGAUGAAGGUCUUCGGAUCGUAAAACUCUGUUAUUAGGGAAGAACAUACGUGUAAGUAACUAUGCACGUCUUGACGGUACCUAAUCAGAAAGCCACGGCUAACUACGUGCCAGCAGCCGCGGUAAUACGUAGGUGGCAAGCGUUAUCCGGAAUUAUUGGGCGUAAAGCGCGCGUAGGCGGUUUUUUAAGUCUGAUGUGAAAGCCCACGGCUCAACCGUGGAGGGUCAUUGGAAACUGUAAAACUUGAGUGCAGAAGAGGAAAGUGGAAUUCCAUGUGUAGCGGUGAAAUGCGCAGAGAUAUGGAGGAACACCAGUGGCGAAGGCGACUUUCUGGUCU